rnacentral:misc_RNA from 1 species
CAUCACACACGUACAGGCACUUGCUCACUUACCCGUAGAGGUCAUGUCUACCUAUGGAAAAGUGUACCUUGUCUCGGGCAACAAUGGGAAGUUGGCUGAGGUGCAGUCCUACCUUGCUCACGCGAAGAUCGUCGCAGAGGCGGUGAAGUUUGACCUGCCGGAGACGCAGAACUCGUCGGCGGAGAAGAUUAGCUGGGAUAAGGCGGUGGAGGCAUACCGAGUUGUAAACAAGAUGCCGGUCGGUAAACCGCUGCGCCACGGCGGCACACCAGUGCUUGUGGACGACACCUCGCUCGAAUUCGACGCUCUCUGCGGGUUGCCCGGUCCCUACAUCAAAUGGUUCCUUGAUCGGUUGGGGGUGGAAGGUCUUUUGAAGAUGGUCAAGGGCUUCGCAGCACCCUUGGAGGAGGACUCGGGGGCAGCGGCGCCCGCCCACCGUGGUGCCAACGCCGUGUGUAUCCUCUCCCUCUGUCACGGCGUUGACGAGGCUACCGGCCAACCGUUGGUGGAACAGUUCCGCGGCGUGUGCCGCGGUGCGCUGCCUCCCGUCCCUCGAGGCGGUGUGGGCUUUGGCUGGGACUCGAUCUUUGCGCCUGAGGCACAGACACCGGCGUACGCAAAGACCUUUGCGGAGAUGUCCGCGGAGGAGAAGAACACGCUGUCUCACCGCGCCAAGGCGCUCAAGAUGCUCACGGAAUAUCUCAAGACCCACGCGCUGGAGCUCCGAGGGAUGUAGCUGCUUGCAUGACCGCACACACAAAUGGAAACGCCCCACCAAAUCCCCCUGAACGAAUUUUUUUUUCUCGCAUGCACUGAUUGUGUGACUGGGGCUUUUCUCAUGGAAAUCGUGGCGAUACCCCGUUCUUCACGCCUGCACUG